rnacentral:rRNA from 1 species
UGGGGAAUCUUGCGCAAUGCGCGAAAGCGUGACGCAGCAACGCCGCGUGGGGGAAGAAGGCCUUCGGGUUGUAAACCUCUUUCAGUUGGGACGAAGGUUCGCUGGUUAAUAGCCGGCUGGACUGACGGUACCUUCAGAAGAAGCCCCGGCUAACUACGUGCCAGCAGCCGCGGUAAUACGUAGGGGGCAAGCGUUGUCCGGAAUCAUUGGGCGUAAAGAGCGUGUAGGCGGCCCGAUAAGUCCGCUGUGAAAGUCCAGGGCUCAACCCUGGAAUGCCGGUGGAUACUGUCGGGCUCGAAUCCGGAAGAGGUGAGUGGAAUUCCUGGUGUAGCGGUGAAAUGCGCAGAUAUCAGGAGGAACACCAAUGGCGAAGGCAGCUCACUGGGACGGUAUUGACGCUGAGACGCGAAAGCGUGGGGAGCAAACAGG